rnacentral:rRNA from 1 species
CCCUUAGAUGUUCUGGGCCGCACGCGCGCCACACUGAUGCAUUCAACGAGCCUAUCCUUGACCGACAGGUCCGGGUAAUCUUUGAAUCUGCAUCGUGACGGGGAUAGAUUAUUGCAAUUAUUAAUCUUCAACGAGGAAUGCCUAGUAGGCGCAAGUCAUCAGCUUGCGUCGAUUGCGUCCCUGCCCUUUGUACACACCGCCCGUCGCUCCUACCGAUUGGGUGUGCUGGUGAAAUGUUCGGAUCGGCCGUUUGUCGCGGUUUCCGCGUCAUGUGGCUGAGAAGUUCAUUAAACCCUCCCACCUAGAGGAAGGAGAAGUCGUAACA